rnacentral:rRNA from 1 species
UUAUUUUCAGGAAGCUUUCGGGUGGAAUGAACUUAACUUAGCGGCGGACGGGUGAGUAACGCGUGGACAACCUACCCUGUACAGGGGGAUAACAAUGGGAAACCAUUGCUAAUACCCCAUAACACCUUUUAGGGGCAUCCCUUUAAGGUCAAAGAAUUUCGGUACAGGAUGGGUCCGCGUCUGAUUAGCUAGUUGGUGAGGUAAUGGCUCACCAAGGCGACGAUCAGUAGCCGGCCUGAGAGGGUGAACGGCCACACUGGAACUGAGACACGGUCCAGACUCCUACGGGAGGCAGCAGUGGGGAAUAUUGCACAAUGGGCGAAAGCCUGAUGCAGCAACGCCGCGUGAGCGAUGAAGGCUUUCGGGUCGUAAAGCUCUGUCCUAAGGGAAGAUAAUGACGGUACCUUAGGAGGAAGCCCCGGCUAACUACGUGCCAGCAGCCGCGGUAAUACGUAGGGGGCAAGCGUUAUCCGGAAUCAUUGGGCGUAAAGGGUGCGUAGGCGGCCCUAUAGGUCAGAGGUCAAAGGCUACGGCUCAACCGUAGUAAGCCUUUGAAACUGUAGGGCUUGAGUGCAGGAGAGGAGAGUGGAAUUCCUAGUGUAGCGGUGAAAUGCGUAGAUAUUAGGAGGAACACCAGUGGCGAAGGCGACUCUCUGGACUGCAACUGACGCUGAGGCACGAAAGCGUGGGGAGCGAACAGGAUUAGAUACCCUGGUAGUCCACGCCGUAAACGAUGAGUGCUAGGUGUCGGGGGUCGAACCUCGGUGCCGCAGCUAACGCAUUAAGCACUCCGCCUGGGGAGUACGUUCGCAAGAAUGAAACUCAAAGGAAUUGACGGGGACCCGCACAAGCAGCGGAGCAUGUGGUUUAAUUCGAAGCAACGCGAAGAACCUUACCUGGACUUGACAUCCCUCGGACCGCUUUUUAACCAAAGCUUUCCCUUCGGGGACUGAGGUGAC